ensembl:lncRNA
UUCCUGUUUGCCACAGAACAGGUUUGGGCUGGGUCUCACUGCCGCCGAACGUCCCAAAGCAUGUUGGGGGCUGCUGUCACUGGUACAAUGAGGCGUUCUGAAGGGAACUUGCAGCCCACCUCUAGUAUCCCAGUAGAGACUGAUGAGAACCAGGAUAUGAGUGAGCUGCACCCACACCCACAAGGGCCCCUCAGAGCUUUGGCCUCUGUGGUCCCAAGACUCCCCUCCAGGACAGAACAGUUAUAUAAACCCUGGCCACUGCAGCCUUCUCUAGAAGCACAAAGCUUGGAAGCCCCCAGCCCCUUGAGGUCUGAGCUGUUCCUGGACCAACAUGCUCCUGGUGCUCCUGCGUCUGGUGGUAUGCAGUGUUCCUGUCAGUUUCCACCCCACGCUGCACAGGUCCCGCUGCAGGUUCCUGUCUG